rnacentral:rRNA from 1 species
CCUACGGGUGGCAGCAGUCGAGAAUCAUUCACAAUGGGGGAAACCCUGAUGGUGCGACGCCGCGUGGGGGAAUGAAGGUCUUCGGAUUGUAAACCCCUGUCAUGUGGGAGCAAAUUAAAAAGAUAGUACCACAAGAGGAAGAGACGGCUAACUCUGUGCCAGCAGCCGCGGUAAUACAGAGGUCUCAAGCGUUGUUCGGAAUCACUGGGCGUAGAGCGUGCGUAGGCUGUUUGGUAAGUCGUGUGUGAAAGGCUCGGGCUCAACCCGCGGACGGCACAUGAUACUGCGAGACUAGAGUGAAGGAGGGGGAACCGGAAUUCUCGGUGUAGCAGUGAAAUGCGUAGAUAGC